rnacentral:rRNA from 1 species
AACGUAGGACACAAGCGUUAUCCGGAAUUACUGGGCGUAAAGCGCCUGCAGGCGGUUGAAUAAGUCAUGCGUGAAAGCGCCCGGCUAAACUGGGCGAGGACGGAUGAUACUGUUUGACUAGAGGGUGAUAGAGGCGAGUGGAAUUCCGCGUGUAGUGGUGAAAUGCGUAGAGAUGCGGAGGAACACCAGUGGCGAAGGCGGCUCGCUGGGUCACACCUGACGCUGAGAGGCGAAAGCAUGGGGAGCGAACGGG